ensembl:lncRNA
GUUUAUAACUAUGGAGGAUCAUAACCCUUUCCAGAGUAAUGCUUUCACACCUGACUCAACACAAGGAAACAGUUUACUGGCAGGACAGAUAACUCUGGUCAUAGAUCACAGCACAAACCCUCCGGUUGUAACAGCCCAUUUCCAGCAGCCUCCUAAUCAUCCCAAUCUCCUUCAUCACCAUCUUCAUCUUCAUCAUCACCAUCAACCCCUUCUUUCUCAUCUUCAAACCCAUCAACAUGCGAUCUAUGGCACAUUGUUGUCUACCAAAGAUCAGCCCCCUCAGCCACCACCAGUGCCACAAAUCUGGGCAGUAUGCCCCCCACCAGGGUACAUCUGUGUGGCUGCACCAGCACCAGCAGCUGCAACCAACAUUACCAUGGCACCUAUUGACACAACAAUGAACACUGGCAAUCCAGUUGUCCCAUUGGAGGAGGCCGCAGGAAGCCCUGUGAUGGAAGCUACUAAAAAGAAAGAGGAUGCAGAUCAGAGAAGAGGGGAGACGACAAAGAAAACAGCCAUCAUUGGAGAGGUUGGUGACAGUAGUGAUGGCAUGAACAGUGAAAAGAUAGAAGGUGAAAAGAGGGAUGGAGAAAGAAGUGUAGAGGAGAGUAACCCUAGUCCUGUGAAGGAGGUGGUCCAAUGUGCAACGAGCGGUGCUGCAGAUGGAGGUGGGGACAGAACAGGUUCAGACAUUUCCUCAUCCAGGAAGCAGAAAGGUAGCGUUAAGGGGGCUAAGUUAGGGGUGCGUCCUACCCAAAACGCUCCCCAACCUCCAAGGAGCCGUCUGGGUCAUCAGAUGAUGCAGUCUGUUCAGGUUUUCCACAAACUUGGGGUAAAAGCCCAGACAUCCAAUCAGUCCAACCAGUCCAUUCCCAAUGAACAAAUGACAGAAGAACAAGUAAUUUUGAUGGACCAGGACCUGCUAGACUUUGAGACGAUUCAUGUUACCGUAGCAAACAGUAACUCCUCAGUGGUGGAAAUAAGAAUACGAGAUGAUGUAGAUACCAUUGGGGCAUCCCAAGCUGAACAUCCUUCGUCUGCAAAACCAACUGUCUUUGACAACCCAAUAACAUUUGACAACCUUUCACAGAAGUCUGCUAGCUCCACAACCAAGUCUGUCUCCCCAUCCUGUCAGAGUAGGCAACCAACUUCAUCAGGGGGAACAAUCCACAGCGACCCCACACACUCCCAACCCUUCGCACCACCCAUUACCCAAAACCACCCCCCGUUCAAAGCCCCCAACCCUCACCCAAGGAGAAGGUACCGUGGUUCUCGCCAUCAGUUUCCCAACACGUGCCAUCACCCAACCCCUCCUGGGCAGUACGGGAGGUUACCCCCUCCUGAUUCCCUCUACUUUCCCAGCCCCUGGCAGGCCUCGGUGCCCAUCUCUCUGUGGCAGAGGGAGGAGAGGGAGGACAUGAAGAGGAAGACCCAGCAGCAGAGAGAAAGGAUGUCCCGGAUCACCAAACAAGGCUGGGACCACAACGUGUUCAUCAACAGGGACCAAUACACUCUGGAGAAAUACCUGAGUAGUUCCACAGUACCCAUGCUGAAGGGCACCAUGAGCGCCUGGAAAAAGCUAAUGGAGAUCUGGAAUAAAUGAAUGGCAAUUUUUUUGGUUAGCAUGUGUUUAGUGUAUCUUUUCGGAAACUAUAGUGAUGCACGGGGUAUACUACAAAAGGUGGUAAAGACGGUUCACUUCUAUGUUUUCU